rnacentral:rRNA from 1 species
GACGAACGCUGGCGGCGCGCCUAACACAUGCAAGUCGAACGAGCGAGAGAGAGCUUGCUUUCUCGAGCGAGUGGCGGACGGGUGAGUAACGCGUGGGUAACCUGCCUUAUACAGGGGGAUAACAGUUGGAAACGACUGCUAAUACCGCAUAAGCGCACGGUAUCGCAUGAUACAGUGUGAAAAACUCCGGUGGUAUAAGAUGGACCCGCGUCUGAUUAGCUUGUUGGUGAGGUAACGGCCCACCAAGGCGACGAUCAGUAGCCGGCCUGAGAGGGUGAACGGCCACAUUGGGACUGAGACACGGCCCAAACUCCUACGGGAGGCAGCAGUGGGGAAUAUUGCACAAUGGGGGAAACCCUGAUGCAGCAACGCCGCGUGAGUGAAGAAGUAUUUCGGUAUGUAAAGCUCUAUCAGCAGGGAAGAAAAUGACGGUACCUGACUAAGAAGCACCGGCUAAAUACGUG